CACGUAGGGCGCAAGCGUUGUCCGGAAUUAUUGGGCGUAAAGAGCUCGUAGGCGGUCUGUUGCGUCCGCUGUGAAAACUCGGGGCUUAACCCCGAGCCUGCAGUGGAUACGGGCAGACUAGAGGUAGGUAGGGGAGAAUGGAAUUCCCGGUGUAGCGGUGAAAUGCGCAGAUAUCGGGAGGAACACCGGUGGCGAAAGCGGGUCUCUGGGCCGGUACCGACGCUGAGGAGCGAAAGCGUGGGGAGCGAACAGG
rnacentral:rRNA from 1 species